rnacentral:tRNA from 1 species
GCGGAAGUGAUGGAAUUGGCAGACAUGCAAGAUUUAGGUUCUUGUGGGCGACCGUGUGGGUUCAAGUCCCAUCUUCCGCA